rnacentral:rRNA from 1 species
UACGAAGGGGGGCGAGCGUUGUUCGGAUUUACUGGGCGUAAAGGGCGCGCAGGCGGUUCUGUUUGUCGAGUGUGAAAGCCCCGGGCUCAACCUGGGAACUGCGCUCGAAACGGCGGAACUAGAGUUCGGGAGAAGAGAGUGGAAUUCCCAGUGUAGAGGUGAAAUUCGUAGAUAUUGGGAAGAACACCGGUGGCGAAGGCGACUACCUGGCCUGUUCUUGACGCUGAGGCGCGAAAGCUAGGGGAGCAAACGGG